rnacentral:tRNA from 1 species
UCCUUCGUGGUGUAGUGGUCAGCACACUCGACGCGUAACCGAGAAAUCCGUGGUUCAAUCCCCGGCUAUGGUG